rnacentral:misc_RNA from 1 species
GAUGAAGAACGCAGCGAAAUGCGAUAAGUAGUGUAAAUUGCAGAAUUCAGUGAAUCAUCGAAUCUUUGAACGCACAUUGCGCCCCUUGGUAUUCCAUGGGGCAUGCCUGUUCGAGCGUCAUUUGUACCUUCAAGCUCUGCUUGGUGUUGGGUGUUUGUCUCGCCUCUGCGUGUAGACUCGCCUUAAAACAAUUGGCAGCCGGCGUAUUGAUUUCGGAGCGCAGUACAUCUCGCGCUUUGCACUCAUAACGACGACGUCCAAAAGUACAUUUUUACACUCUUGACCUCGGAUCAGGUAGGGAUACCCGCUGAACUUAAGCAUAUCAAUAAGCGGAGGA